GUGAAAACUUCAGCAGCACAAAUAUGAAUAUUGGAAAGAGACAAAGAUUAACAUGGCCCCAACACAAGAAAGACACACAACAUCGCAAAGAAUUCCAUACUUCU